rnacentral:tRNA from 1 species
ACUGCCUUAGCUCAUUUGGAAGAACGCCGAAGUACAAAUCCUGAAGUCACGAGUUCAAAUCCCGCAAGCGGUA